UACGUAGGGUGCAAGCGUUGUCCGGAAUUAUUGGGCGUAAAGAGCUCGUAGGCGGUCUGUCGCGUCGGAUGUGAAAAUCCAGGGCUCAACCCUGGACCUGCAUUCGAUACGGGCAGACUAGAGUUCGGUAGGGGAGACUGGAAUUCCUGGUGUAGCGGUGAAAUGCGCAGAUAUCAGGAGGAACACCGGUGGCGAAGGCGGGUCUCUGGGCCGGUACUGACGCUGAGGAGCGAAAGCGUGGGGAGCGAACAGG
rnacentral:rRNA from 1 species